rnacentral:rRNA from 1 species
UACAGAGGUCUCAAGCGUUUGUUCGGAUUCAUUGGGCGUAAAGGGCGCGUAGGCGGCGGGGUAAGUCGGGUGUGAAAUCUCAGAGCUCAACUCUGAAACUGCACUCGAUACUGCUCUGCUUGAGGACUGGAGAGGAGACUGGAAUUCACGGUGUAGCAGUGAAAUGCGUAGAUAUCGUGAGGAACACCAGUGGCGAAGGCGGCUCACUGGUCCAUUACUGACGCUGAGGUGCGAAAGCGUGGGGGAGCAAACAGG